ACGUUAACGAACGAGACCUUAACCUGCUAAAUAGUCCGGCCGGCUUUUGCUGGUCGCUGACUUCUUAGAGGGACUAACAGCGUUUAGCUGUUGGAAGUUUGAGGCAAUAACAGGUCUGUGAUGCCCUUAGAUGUUCUGGGCCGCACGCGCGCUACACUGAUCAAGUCAACGAGUUUACAACCUUGGCCGGAAGGUCUGGGUAAUCUUUUGAAACUUGAUCGUGCUGGGGAUAGUCCAUUGCAAUUAUUGGACUUCAACGAGGAAUUCCUAGUAAGCGUGAGUCAUCAGCUCGCGUUGAUUACGUCCCUGCCCUUUGUACACACCGCCCGUCGCUAAUACCGAUUGAAUGGAUU
rnacentral:rRNA from 1 species